rnacentral:sRNA from 1 species
AAAAACCCUCAGAUCACCUUCACUUAUACAGAACACCAGACCUAAAUGGGAUAGUUUUAUGUUUCUCGUGAAUUUUUGUGUUUGGAUUUCGGUGUAAGUGCUUGUAAGCGUUACAAAUUUUCAGUUGUGUUGAGUUUUUGUUAUACAAGUCACUUUUGCCAUGUACCCGAACGAGACUAGUGCCUCCUCGAGGAACACCAAAGGUGCCCCAAAAACCUCUUCCUCCAAUGGUAGUGGUGGUGUAUAUGGAAUAAGUUGCACCUGCCAGGAUUGCGGCUGCUGCGAUGGAUCUUGCCGGAACUGCAGUUGCUCCAACUGCCAGAGGAGGCGUCAGCGAGUCGAGCGAAGAACAUAAAGCUAUCCGUGUAUAUAUUUGGAUCACCAAGGUGGUUAGGAUGACGUUUCUCGAGGACUCGCUCCUGGCCACCGCAGAAAUAUCCUUUCGAUCCGGACAUAUUUUGGAGUUAUUGGAUUUACUCGGAUAAUAGUAUUAGUUCUUGUUCCAUAUGCUGAGAUACCCAACACUUGGAUUCCCUAAACUGGGAUACCUUAAACUGGGAUACACGGCUACCCUAUAUUUGGAUACCCUAUACUUGGAUUCCCUAUGCUUGGAUACCCAACGAUUGGAUACCACAUAAUCGGACUGCGUUUGACUCGAAUUCCAAAUAUGUUUAUUGGACAUAGAUACCCUAUAGUUGGAUAUCCUAAACUGGGAUAACCUAAGCUUGGAUACCCUGUUCUUGGAUACCCCAUACUCAGACUGUUUGACUCGGAUUACAAAUAUGUUUUAUGGACAUAGAUACCCUAUAGUUGGAUACCCUAAACUUGGAUAUGGUUAUCCCAUAUUUGACUGCUGUUACUCCGAUUUCACUAGGGACUCAGAAAUGUGCAGAAAACACCUGAUUGAUUCAAACGUUAAUCUAUAAGACCACACUAUGGAAUUGGCGAACACAAAAGUUAAUAAACUUAAAAUCAAA